AUUGAACGCUGGCGGCAGGCCUAACACAUGCAAGUCGAGCGGAGCGGCGGACGGGUGAGUAAUGCCUAGGAAUCUGCCUGGUAGUGGGGGAUAACGUCCGGAACCGGGCGCUAAUACCGCAUAAUAUCAGUUUAGCCUAGGUCGGAUUAGCUAGUUGGUGGGGUCACGGCCUACCAAGGCGACGCUCGGUAACUGGUCUGAGAGGAUGAUCAGUCACACUGGUAUGUAGACACGGUCCAGACUCCUACGUGAGGCAGCAGUGGGGAAUAUUGUACAAUGGGCGAAAGCCUGAGCCAGCCAUGCCGCGUGUGUGAAGAAGGUCUUCGGAUUGUAAAGCACUUUAAGUUGGGAGGCGUUACCAACAGAAUAAGCACCGGCUAACUUCGUGCCAGCAGACGCGGUAAUAC
rnacentral:rRNA from 1 species